rnacentral:rRNA from 1 species
CCUACGGGAGGCUGCAGUGAGGAAUAUUGGUCAAUGGGCGGGAGCCUGAACCAGCCAAGUCGCGUGAGGGAAGACGGUCCUAUGGAUUGUAAACCUCUUUAGGCGGGGAGCAAUGCCGGGCACGUGUGCCCGGAGGGAGAGUACCCGCAGAAUAAGCAUCGGCUAACUCCGUGCCAGCAGCCGCGGUAAUACGGAGGAUGCGAGCGUUAUCCGGAUUGAUUGGGUUUAAAGGGUGCGUAGGCGGAUUUUUAAGUCAGCGGUAAAAUGUCCGGGCUCAACCCGGGCCGGCCGUUGAAACUGGGGAUCUUGAGUGGGCGAGAAGUAUGCGGAAUGCGUGGUGUAGCGGUGAAAUGCAUAGAUAUCACGCAGAACUCCGAUUGCGAAGGCAGCAUACCGGCGCCCGACUGACGCUGAGGCACGAAAGCGUGGGGAUCGAACAGGAUUAGAUACCCUGGUAGUC